GUGCCAGCAGCCGCGGUAAUACGGAGGGUGCAAGCGUUAUCCGGAUUCACUGGGUUUAAAGGGUGCGUAGGCGGACUUUCAAGUCAGAGGUGAAAGCCCAGAGCUUAACUCUGGAAUUGCCUUUGAUACUGAUUGUCUUGGAUAUAGUUGAGGUAGGCGGAAUGAGUCGUGUAGCGGUGAAAUGCAUAGAUAUGACUCAGAACGCCGAUUGCGAAGGCAGCUUACUAAACUAUUAUUGACGCUGAGGCACGAAAGCGUGGGGAGCAAACAGGAUUAGAAACCCUGGUAGUCC
rnacentral:rRNA from 1 species